GUAAUGCUUCGACUGAUUGGUG
rnacentral:miRNA from 1 species